UUUUUUUGCAGAAAUUGUUGUGCAUCUUGUACAAUACUACAAUAGCCCUGGAUAACACUGAUGGAGUUACAUUUACUGAAAACAGAAAACAACCCAUUGCUCACCCUCUUGAUAUUUAGUUAUUUUGAAAGGACAGUGUGCUCUUUUGACAUCUCUUUCCUCCAAGAUUACGUCAUUUUUAAUUAGAAGAGUUGCAAUAAAUACUUUAAAAACAAAAGGAGAAGUUCAUUGGCAAAAAAGAAAGGAGACUAAGUAUGUUUAUUUUAUUUGCCAAGAAUCAAGAGUGAGGAAGUAAUUUUAGCUUUAUUUUAUUUCUGUAGCAGACAGAGGUGCUUUUGAAAUUAGAAGCAAAGGAAUCUCUUUCAAUAAUUUUGACUCUGAAAGCUAAAAUAUAGGUGUAAAGUUGAUCAGUAUAGAAAGCAUAUACAUAAACCUUUUUGCGUGUGCAGUGUAGAUGUUAUAGAAAUAAAUUUUGAUUUCUCUGCGGUGAUGAUUAGGAAAAAUUUAUUCUCCAGAAGAGUGGUCACGCAUUGGAAUGGGCUUCCCAGGGGGAUGGUUGAGUUACCAUCCAUGGAAGUGUUCAAGAAGCAUUUAGAUGUGUUACUAAGUGACAUAGUUUAUUGGAGAAAUAUUGGUGGUAGAUGGACAGUUGGACUUAGGUGAUUUUGUAAGUCUUUUCCAACCUUGGUGAUUCUAUGAUUCUAUCAUCUGUGAAUUUACUUAUUGCAGUAAAGAGUGGUAUUCUUGUAGUGGCUGAUGUGUGCAGAGGUGAAAGCUGCAGUUAAUUAACAAGUGCCUUAAAGUUGAUGAAAAAAGUUCACUAUACAAUAAGGGCAACAAAGGCUACCUGGAAAAGUAGAAAGAAAAAAUAUUCUCCUCUCAAAAGUGAUGAAAAUGACUGCUGAAGGUGGAGUGUGCUGCUUAUUGGAGCGAACCUUCUGAAAUUCUGUAUAAAAACAAACAGGCCAGAUAGGCUGUGUGCUCUUAGACUUUCAUACCCAGUGUGCAAGUGCUGUUCUUUUCUAUGAAUACAGUGCAAGCAAAGCUAUGUUGUUAAUCUCUGUUGACUACUAGGUUUUUUUGCUUUUUUUGGGGGGGGUGAGUUGCCUGUUAAAAAUCAUCGCAAAACUGCGGAUGCAAUCUGUAGGGACAUCUUCAAGUGCAUCAACCUUUUGUGUUUGUUUCUAAUAUAUUUAAUAGAUGUAGGGAGAAUGUGUGCCUAUCUGAAUAGAAAAAUAUACCAAAUUUAUUUUAUCCACUGUUUACUCAAACAGCAACUGAUAAAUAAUACUUUCACAUUUUGCUUGUGUUUUAUUUCUCCCACACCAGGGGCUCAAAAAAAUGAAUGUGUCAGUAAAGGAUUUGACAGUGUGUUACGACAGUCAUCAAUCCAGCAAGCCCUGUAGCCAUAAAUAAGCUUCAUACAGUGCCACACUAAAGAGGACAGUUUUUCUUCUGCAGGACAUUGAAAAUGUCACAGCAAGGGAAUUGUUUGUCCCUGUCGCCACGACAACGCCACCAGCACUUAUCAUUAACUUUCACACCAAGAUUUUAAUCAGCAGUCUUUGUGGCAUAAGACUGAGUCAACAUCAGCCCAAAUUUUCAAAGCCGUUAUUCUAAUUAUGACGAGAAGCUAUAGAUUGAUGAGCUUAGUUUUCUGCAAGGACUGGUGGCAGUUAAUUCCUGUGACCUGUGUGCCUCCAGUAGUCUCUUUUCGAGAUGGAGUCUUGAAAGUUCGAUUAUUAGUGACAGGUUGUAAGUGAGAAGAAGCUUAUCUCUCCAGAGAGUGUUGAUAACUUGAGACAAGGUUUAACUAGGAAGUAGUGAGACAGUAGAUGGCAAAAAAAAAAAAAAAAAAGGAAAAAAAAAGAAAAAGAAUAAAAGAAAGAGUGCCUUUUCUAUCUCUGGCAAGCAAACUGUAAUGAGAAAAUACAGACAGCCACAAUUUCACAAGUUGUAAAUUCUAGUUGCCAUCAGGUUUAUACGUCCCUGAAAAAUGAGAAGAAAUAUGACAUUUUGUUAUGUUAAAAAAAAAAAAAACAAAACACUUACUGCAUCAUUUUCAUGUGUAUUGAGACUGGCCACACCAGUAUUAUCAUUGCUGUUAAUAUUAUUUAUGUGCAAACAGUGUGCUCAGAGCUGUACAAGUCAAACAAGACAACGUGUCCUUGCUCUGAGGGGCUUGUAAUCUAAGUAGACAGACAAUGCAAAAUGCACUAGGAAAACCCAGAGGAGAAUUAUGUCCAAGUUUAUUUCAUUUAUUUGUUCUUGGAGAUGGGUAGGCAAUGUUGUUUUUGCUGACUAGUAUCUGUGUUUGUGGAAGGAGUGAUGUUGGAAAGGUGAGGGCUCAGCAUAUGAAUUGAAUGGAGAAGUAUGGGAACAAAAACGUGCAAAUGGUCUGCAGGAGAAUUUAUUAGAGGAGGGGGGAAAAAAAAAAGCCAGGUAAGUUGAACACCAGUAUAAUUAUUUCCAAAAGAAAUAAGGGAGAAAGCUGCUGACUGUCAUGCGCUUAGGUGCUGGCAGUUCUGCAAUGGUCUCAGUAUUUAGCAAACUAAACAGGUGUGGGCCUUACUCUACUCAUUAAUCUCCUUUUGUCUCUGAUUUCUGUUAAGCAUUACAUAACUUGGGUGAAUUACUAAUUCUGCGGGAUUCCUGACUCCUUCCUCUUUGCAUUUCUGAAAUCAUUUUUGGGAAAUGGAUGUACAGAAGUGAAAUCCUGCUGAGCUGCGUAAGAGAGGCUUUCUUUCAACUGUUCUGAAGACUCCUGAGUUAUUUCUAGGACCUCUAGAUCUAAGUUAAUCAAUAAGGCCAUUGUAGAUGGGUUCAUUCUUAAAUGUAUUCCAAAAAAGCACGAGCCUAGCCAGAUACUACAGUGCCCAGGAGAACAAGAAAGACAGUGAAGAAAAAUAGAGCAGGGGUUUAUAGGUGGCUUAAGGAAAAAGCAAUGACUGCAAAAAGCACUCGAAUAUGUUUACCAUAAUUAAAAGCAGUAAUAGAAAUUGUCUGUUGUGUCCCUGAUUCUCUUGCUCAUUAAAUCAGAGAUGACACUCUUAAGUGCUGAGUCCUGUAAAUAUGAAAGCUGUUGAUCUCAUUUGCUGUGGGAAUGAAUAAACCACUUCAGCUGAAUUUCAGAAGCUGAUUUCUAGAGAGCUUUCAGUUUAUUUAUUUUUUCUCCAAUUGUUUCAUUGCUAUGCUCAGGAAGCAUAGCAGGAAAAAGACACUGGUAUUCACCAGUAUACAGCCUCAUGCCUUCAGCAGAUUGCACCACAAAGACUGUUCUUUUGAAUAAGGGUUUUGAAUGGUCCGUCUGCUUCUGAAGGAUAAGAAGUGUUAGCAAACCAAAUGAAAGCAAGUUUUAAAACCUUGCUGUUUUACGGCAUUAAGUAUUCUGAAAGUACAUAAUACUCUCUCUAAUCUGCUGUAUUUGACUAUCUUGAGCUUUCAAUGAGACUUUUGUUUGAAAGUAUUCAAGUUUUCCUUGUGGACAGAUUCAAAAUUUCAGUGUGGAUGCCAUGUGGGUGUGCAACUCCUGUCCUGCUUGAGGGCUCGCCUCCUGCUGGGCAGUGCCUUUGGCUUAUGUUGAUGGAACUCUGGGCAGAGCAAGGCCUUCAAAGAGGAGGCAUGUCUUCAUCUACUGUUGUUGAACACUUCCUUGAAGAAACACACCAUCAUGCUGUCCUGCCUAUGUCUAUUGCACAGGUUUCAUUGGCGUGACUGUCAUGUUUUCUUUUCUCCCACUUGUCCAUUUCAGCUGUGCUAGCAAAACUUUGUCACUGCUUAAAGCAGUGCAGCUCCAGUGGCUCAAACUUUUUUGUUUAGAAAUUUUGUUAUUAAUUCAGUUUUUAUCAAACAAAAAUGUAAUGGGGCACGUGCGUAUUAGGAGAUGGG
rnacentral:lncRNA from 1 species